CGGAGUAAGGGAGCUGCUCCUGAGUUUAGCGGCGGACGGGUGAGUAAUGCCUAGGAAUCUGCCUGGUUGUGGGGGAUAACGUUCCGAAAGGACGUAAAUACCGCAUACGUCCUACGGGAGAAGGCAGGGGACUUCGGGCCUUGCGCUAUCAGAUGAGCCUAGGUCGGAUUAGCUAGUUGGUGAGGUAAUGGCUCACCAAGGCGACGAUCCGUAACUGGUCUGAGAGGAUGAUCAGUCACACUGGAACUGAGACACGGUCCAGACUC
rnacentral:rRNA from 1 species